CAGAUGAGGAUGAAGUAUUAUGAAAGUAAAUAUCCAACACUUGAACUGAUUCUCAGUGAUGUGUCGAACUAAGCUUCUGAAUCUGA